CUAUACAGUCAUACUACCCUGAACAUGCCUGAUCUCAUCUGAUCUCCGAAGCUAAGCAGGGUCAAGACUGGUUAAUACUUGUGUGGGAGAUGAUUGCAGUCCAGAACUUUGAGGU
rnacentral:rRNA from 1 species